rfam:Triticum aestivum genome assembly, contig: Triticum_aestivum_CS42_TGACv1_scaffold_513825_6BS
AAACUACUCCCUCUGUCCCAAAUUUCUUGUAUUAGAUUUGUCUAGAUACGGAUGUAUCUAAUACUAAAAUGUGACUUGAUACAUCUGUAUCUGGACCAAUCUAAGAUAAGAAUUUUGAGACGGAGGGAGUACUUU